rnacentral:tRNA from 2 species
GCGGGUGUAGCUCAGUUGGUUAGAGUGCCGGCCUGUCACGCCGGAGGUCGCGGGUUCGAGCCC